rnacentral:piRNA from 1 species
UGCAUAACCGGCUGCGAGAAGUGGAG